rnacentral:misc_RNA from 1 species
CGGAAAACAGGAUCUUCCCAAACCUGGGAUGAAAAGAAAAUUACCACAAUGAUAAAUGCCAUAAAAAAUAUAAAUAUACUUAAUAGUUUAUGAUCAGCAAUAAAUUCCAAUACAAAAUAGAACAAAAAAAAUCCAUCAGAUACGGUGGACUAAUCCUCCAUAUAGUUAUUCCAUCUCCUUGACAGCCUCCAGUUUGAUAGGCAAUCGUUGAUUAGUGCAUGGCUCAUCAAGACAAACAGCGGCCACACUUCCCCAACAAUAAAACUAUGUGAAUAAAUGAUCUAUAGUUCCAUCAUAAGACAAAUGACAGCAAAAAAGAACAAUCCUCCUGUCCACCAAAUUCUCAGCUAAAUGAAUGAAUUCUAAAGAAACCAUCCAUGCAUGCCAAAUGAAAGGAAAAUUAAUUAAUAGAUAUAACCUGCCAAAUAAUCCUGCUACGAAAUGGCCUUCAUUAUUUCCUAGAAUCUACAAGAUAAUUUAUCACCUUCCUGAUUCCUAGCCAAGCUCCAACACAGUUUGUCCACAGCACAUCCUCACUUCUCACAACCAAGUAUAGAAUAAUGAACAAAUAAUACAAAUAUAGCUGCCUCACAAGAUUCAGUAUCAAGGAUGUUGAGUUACCCUGAUGGUUACGAAUAGAUCACCAGGUUGAUUUCUAUCUGGGUCUGCUCCACCACUUCUU